AGGUCUUGACAUCCCGUUGACCACUAUGGAGACAUAGUUUUCCCUUCGGGGACAACGGUGACAGGUGGUGCAUGGUUGUCGUCAGCUCGUGUCGUGAGAUGUUGGGUUAAGUCCCGUAACGAGCGCAACCCUUAAUCUUAGUUGCCAGCAUUCAGUUGGGCACUCUAAGGUGACUGCCGGUGACAAACCGGAGGAAGGUGGGGAUGACGUCAAAUCAUCAUGCCCCUUAUGACCUGGGCUACACACGUGCUACAAUGGAUGGAACAAAGGGGAGCAAAACCGCGAGGUCAAGCAAAUCCCAUAAAACCAUUCUCAGUUCGGAUUGCAGGCUGCAACUCGCCUGCAUGAAGCCGGAAUCGCUAGUAAUCGCGGAUCAGCAUGCCGCGGUGAAUACGUUCCCGGGUC
rnacentral:rRNA from 1 species